GUCGACGCAAUCUUUGACUAAUGAGUGCUUGCACUCAGCAGUUAAAGUGCGAGUGGCGAACGGGUGAGUAACACGUGGGCAAUCUGCCCAACAGUGGGGGAUAACACUUGGAAACAGGUGCUAAUACCGCAUCAACCGGCUGACCGCAUGGUCGGCCGGGCAAAGACGGCGUCAGCUGUCGCUUUUGGAUGAGCCCGCGGCGUAUUAACUAGUUGGUAAGGUAACGGCUUACCAAGGUGAUGAUACGUAGCCGAACUGAGAGGUUGAUCGGCCACAUUGGGACUGAGACACGGCCCAAACUCCUACGGGAGGCAGCAGUAGGAAAUCUUCCACAAUGGACGCAAGUCUGAUGGAGCAACGCCGCGUGUAUGAAGAAGGUCUUCGGAUCGUAAAAUACUGUUGUCAGAGAAGAACACGUGAUAGAGUAACUGCUAUGGCGCUGACGGUAUCUGACCAGCAAGUCACGGCUAACUACGUGCCAGCAGCCGCGGUAAUACGUAGGUGGCAAGCGUUGUCCGGAUUUAUUGGGCGUAAAGGGAACGCAGGCGGUCUUUUAAGUCUGAUGUGAAAGCCUUCGGCUUAACCGGAGAAGUGCAUUGGAAACUGGAAGACUUGAGUGCAGAAGAGGAGAGUGGAACUCCAUGUGUAGCGGUGAAAUGCGUAGAUAUAUGGAAGAACACCAGUGGCGAAAGCGGCUCUCUGGUCUGUGACUGACGCUGAGGUUCGAAAGCGUGGGGAGCGAACAGGAUUAGAUACCCUGGUAGUCCACGCUGUAAACGAUGAAUGCUAGGUGUUGGAGGGUUUCCGCCCUUCGGUGCCGCAGCUAACGCACUAAGCAUUCCGCCUGGGGAGUACGAUC
rnacentral:rRNA from 1 species